CCUACGGGUGGCAGCAGUGGGGAAUAUUGCACAAUGGGGGAAACCCUGAUGCAGCGACGCCGCGUGAGUGAAGAAGUAAUUCGGUAUGUAAAGCUCUAUCAGCAGGGAAGAAAAUGACGGUACCUGAGUAAGAAGCCCCGGCUAACUACGUGCCAGCAGCCGCGGUAAUACGUAGGGGGCAAGCGUUAUCCGGAUUUACUGGGUGUAAAGGGAGCGUAGACGGCAGUGCAAGUCUGGAGUGAAAGGCGGGGGCUCAACCCCCGGACUGCUCUGGAAACUGUACGGCUGGAGUGCAGGAGGGGCAAGUGGAAUUCCUAGUGUAGCGGUGAAAUGCGUAGAUAUUAGGAGGAACACCAGUGGCGAAGGCGGCUUACUGGACUGUAACUGACGUUGAGGCUCGAAAGCGUGGGGAGCAAACAGGAUUAGAUACCCGUGUAGUC
rnacentral:rRNA from 1 species